GUCUAACCUGCCCACUGAGAAUUUUAAAGGCCGCAGUAUUUUAACUGUGCAAAGGUAGCAUAAUCAUUAGUCUUUUAAUUGAAGGCUGGUAUGAAUGGUUGAAUGAGAUAUUAACUGUUUCAAUAUAAUUUUUAGAAUUUUAUAUUUUAGUGAAAAAGCUAAAAUAUUUUUAAAAGACGAGAAGACCCUAUAAAUCUUUAUAAUUUUAAAUUUAUAGAUAUAUAGAUAAUUAAAUUUAUAGGUCAGGAAAUUAUUUUAUUGGGGUGAUAUUAAAAUUUUAUAAACUUUUAAUGUUUGGUUUACACUGAUUAGUGGGUUAAUGAUCCGUAAUUUAUGAUUAAAAAAUUAAGUUACUUUAGGGAUAACAGCGUAAUUUUUUUGGAGAGUUCUUAUUAAUAAAAAAGAUUGCGACCUCGAUGUUGGAUUAAGAUAUAAGUUUAGGUGUAGUGGCUUAAAUUU
rnacentral:rRNA from 1 species